GGGUGUGUAGCUCAGUUGGUAGAGUGUCUGAAUCAUAAUCAGAUGGUCGUAGGUUCAAGUCCUACCAUACCCACCA
rnacentral:tRNA from 1 species